rnacentral:rRNA from 1 species
UUGUAAUCGCGGAUCAGCAUGCCGCGGUGAAUACGUUCCCGGGCUUGUACAACACCGCCCGUCAACACCAUGAGAGUUUGUAACACCCAAAGUCGGUGGGGUAACCUUUUAGGAGCCAGCCGC